rnacentral:lncRNA from 1 species
CACAAUUAACAACACACUCCUGGCGUCCCGAAAUUACAGGUAUUUUGUUCAUUUGCAUCUCUAUUUUGUUAUCCCUAAGUAACCCUCGACAAUCGACACAAUCUCUCCAAUCUUAGGGUUUGACAAUCAACGAGAAAAAUUAUUGAUUCUCCACCUCUAGGGUUGCGCUUUGUAGAUCCUUGCAGUUCGUUCGGGUCUCAAGAUGUUUUGGCGUAUGGCGGGUUUGUCCACUGUGUCUCCGGUGAGUAAUUUGAUUGUCAGUGGCGUAUAUUUUUGAAUUACUAUUUAGUUAAAUCCAAUUCUUCUUUCUGUUUUCAGUAUUGAAACGAAAAUUUUGGAAUUCUUCUGUUAGUAUUUGGUUCCCGAGAAAUGUGAAAAUUAGGAGGAUGUGGCAUUUUGAAUACUAUGAUUUGGCAUGAUAGUCGAGUGGCUUUUGUUUAUCAAUUUUUUUUUGGUUUUUAGGUCUGCUUUUUAGUUUGGUAAAUGUACUACUGGUAAUGUGAGCUUUCUUAGCUCUUGAGAUUCUUGGAUUUCUUUUGGUUAUGUAGUUGGUUUAUUGUUUAUGUAUGCAUAUCAACUCAACUUUUGAAGAAUAAGAACUCAGGAGAUAUUGGUAAAGAAAUUUAUUAACAAAUUUGUUAUAUCACUCUAGUGGUUGUUUAGUGAAUAGAACUAAGAAGUUAUAGUAUCUAGAAUGGAACCCACCACUGUAGUAGUCACCACCAUCACCACCACCACAGCCGCCGCCGACAUAUGUGCACACUAUUUGAUAGCUUAACUAUUUUGGGUACACUAUUUGAUAGCUUAACUAUUUUGGGUACCUAGACUAAAUUUAUUCAGUAUUAGUUUCGCUAUUUCAUUAAAAUGGACAUGAAUUCAUAUCUGUCAUGUAAGUGCUUUAGUCUUUCAUGAUUAUUGUGCACACUAUUUGAUAACUUAACUAUUUUGGGUACCUAAACUAAAUUUGUUCAAUAUUAGUUUUGCUAUUUCAUUAAAAUUGACAUGAAUUCUUAUCUGUCAUGUAAGUGCUUUAGUCUUUCAUGAUUAUUAUGCAUUUUUUUUAAAACAGGAAGGGUUUCCCCUUUCUAGUGCAUUUUUUCAUGAUAUAUAGAGCUCUAAUUUGAAAACAGGAAGGGCUAAGAAAAAUAAGGCAAAGAUUUAACUAUAUAUAAGAGUAUUCACUACUGAUAAUUCAGCUAUUUUACUUCAUGUCCCACCCCUUAACUGACUUCCCAAGGCUUUAACACAGUAAGAAAGAAAAAGAGAGCCAACUGAGAGUGAUAUUAGCAGAGUUCGGCUAGAGGGGGAAAAGGAAUUGAGCAGCUCAACCCACUUGUCACCUUCGAAUUAACAAGGAAAGCCAAUUCUGGCCCCCAAUCCUUUUUCCAGUCGUUCCUAUGUCUCUAAUUGGUAGCAACUGAACUGUUAGUGACUAUGUAACAUUAAGACUUAACCACUAUUUUAAAAACCUUGUAUACUAGAUUAGAGGCUUGAUAAGGACUAAUAUGGUGUAAGCUAUUCAAUAUCAGUCAAAUAUAUGUUAUGUAUGAUAAAUAUCAUAUAAAAAGAUAGUAUAAGCCUUUAUAUUGCACUUUCAUGCUAUCAUUGUAAACAUAGGGGUAAAUCAUGUUUGUUUUUGAAAUUUAAUCCUAAAGGGGGGCUGUGUUGGUCUAAAGCAUAGAGACUUUGCAUUUAGAUGUUUUAAAUCAUGAAUAUAUGGUAAAUAAUAGGUGCAUGUUUUAGAAAGACAUUUAUGACAAUGCUUGCUACUGUUUUGGUGUGAUGAACCAUGCCCAGAACUAGUAUACUGAAUGGACUACGACAAUAUACUUGCAUUUAGAUGUUUUAAAUCAUGAAUAUAUACUAACUGUUAUUAAAUUAUAUGAACUGUUAUGUGUUGCUUUACUAACUGUUGUAGUAUUAAAAUUCACUGCUAUGCUAUAUUGUUGUGUUGACUGAUUGCUAGCAUUACUAACAUCCUAAAUUUUUUAUUUAUAGAUGUCUUCUGAACCUGCAGCACGAAAGCGCGGGUUGGGUCGGGGCCCUAAUCAUGUGCCGAAGGCCCCGGCUAAUCCGGAUGAUCGCAUUCUUAUACAGAUCCGUCCUCCUCCAGAAAGCACGUAAGUUAAACAUCGUGUAUAUAUAAGGGUUUAAUAUUUCCAUUGUUAUAAAUAUAUAUGACUGUAAAUUAUUGAAUAUUGUAGUGAUUUUCAAGAUAGUAAAAUUGUGAACUGCAUUACACAAUUAUGCUUACAGAACUGGCCUACGCCAGUGAUUACAUGGGCGAGCACACCUCUUGCCCAUAAGGAUGCAGUUUGGGCUGAAUUUCAGGUAUAUUUUUUUAUCACUCUGAUAGAUAAUACAUAGUUAAUCAAAUAAUAUGGUUUAGUAAUGUUGGAUUAUGGUAUAGAUGGGACGACACACAGGCAUCAGUUAUUCAGACACUUCGUAUACUGGGCGGGCAUCUGCAUUCUCUUAGUCCUGAUGAGUUGGCGGAGGCAGUGGCGACAGCAGCAGCAUCACAGCAUCAGGGUGGCGACCAGGUAUAUAUAUCGAUAUUGUUACUGUCACUGCACAUACUUAUAUGUUUCACUACAUUGUCUAUUGUUUAGUUUUCCUAAGUCAUAGCAGUAUCAACACAUGUAACAUAUAUUUUUUAUUCUUUUGUUAAUUACAGGGUACUAAUUUGGAUGAUCCAUGAAGACCUAGCCCAGUCAUAUAUGUUAGAUUUUUAAAGCCUUGCUAGACUUGUUUUUUAAAUUGUUAAAGGCCUUGUACUCUUUUAGAUUCAUUCUUUGGACAAUUUUAUUGGUUUACGAUUCUAUUAUAUAGAUGUUUAUGAUUGUAUUGUGUUGUGUUGGUUUACGAUGGAUGUUUAUCAGUUAUCAUGGAU